rnacentral:siRNA from 1 species
CAGCGGCUGGAAGAGCACCGCA